GGGCCCGUGGUCCAGUGGUAAGAUGAUCCCAUGGCAUGGGAUAGACUCGAGUUCGAUUCUCGGCGGGUCCA
rnacentral:tRNA from 1 species